GCAGUGGUGGCUCAGUGGCAGAAUUCUCGGCUUCCACGCAGGAGACCUGGGUUCGACUCCUGGCCGAUGCG
rnacentral:tRNA from 1 species